rnacentral:piRNA from 1 species
AGGAGAGCCAUGAGACUCAACUGGGCCUA